UCGGAGUGCCUUUGACAGGUACCUGCCCACCCGGUCUAGAGAACGAGGAGGGAGAACCAACUUGGAGCACGAGGAAACAACAAGGAAACCGUUUGGCCUUCAACAGGUUACCAUCCAGCCUUCAGCAGAUUGUUCGGCCAUCCACAACAGAAAAAGUAUCCAGUCUUCAUGGACCGUCCGGCCUUCCCCGCCACCUAGAACGCUCCAGGGCUCGUCCAUCC
rnacentral:lncRNA from 1 species